rnacentral:rRNA from 9 species
AAAUUGAAGAGUUUGAUCAUGGCUCAGAUUGAACGCUGGCGGCAGGCCUAACACAUGCAAGUCGAACGGUAACAGGAAGCAGCUUGCUGCUUUGCUGACGAGUGGCGGACGGGUGAGUAAUGUCUGGGAAACUGCCUGAUGGAGGGGGAUAACUACUGGAAACGGUGGCUAAUACCGCAUAACGUCGCAAGACCAAAGAGGGGGACCUUCGGGCCUCUUGCCAUCAGAUGUGCCCAGAUGGGAUUAGCUUGUUGGUGAGGUAACGGCUCACCAAGGCGACGAUCCCUAGCUGGUCUGAGAGGAUGACCAGCCACACUGGAACUGAGACACGGUCCAGACUCCUACGGGAGGCAGCAGUGGGGAAUAUUGCACAAUGGGCGCAAGCCUGAUGCAGCCAUGCCGCGUGUAUGAAGAAGGCCUUCGGGUUGUAAAGUACUUUCAGCGGGGAGGAAGGUGUUGUGGUUAAUAACCGCAGCAAUUGACGUUACCCGCAGAAGAAGCACCGGCUAACUCCGUGCCAGCAGCCGCGGUAAUACGGAGGGUGCAAGCGUUAAUCGGAAUUACUGGGCGUAAAGCGCACGCAGGCGGUCUGUCAAGUCGGAUGUGAAAUCCCCGGGCUCAACCUGGGAACUGCAUUCGAAACUGGCAGGCUUGAGUCUUGUAGAGGGGGGUAGAAUUCCAGGUGUAGCGGUGAAAUGCGUAGAGAUCUGGAGGAAUACCGGUGGCGAAGGCGGCCCCCUGGACAAAGACUGACGCUCAGGUGCGAAAGCGUGGGGAGCAAACAGGAUUAGAUACCCUGGUAGUCCACGCCGUAAACGAUGUCUACUUGGAGGUUGUGCCCUUGAGGCGUGGCUUCCGGAGCUAACGCGUUAAGUAGACCGCCUGGGGAGUACGGCCGCAAGGUUAAAACUCAAAUGAAUUGACGGGGGCCCGCACAAGCGGUGGAGCAUGUGGUUUAAUUCGAUGCAACGCGAAGAACCUUACCUGGUCUUGACAUCCACGGAAGUUUUCAGAGAUGAGAAUGUGCCUUCGGGAACCGUGAGACAGGUGCUGCAUGGCUGUCGUCAGCUCGUGUUGUGAAAUGUUGGGUUAAGUCCCGCAACGAGCGCAACCCUUAUCCUUUGUUGCCAGCGGUUAGGCCGGGAACUCAAAGGAGACUGCCAGUGAUAAACUGGAGGAAGGUGGGGAUGACGUCAAGUCAUCAUGGCCCUUACGACCAGGGCUACACACGUGCUACAAUGGCGCAUACAAAGAGAAGCGACCUCGCGAGAGCAAGCGGACCUCAUAAAGUGCGUCGUAGUCCGGAUUGGAGUCUGCAACUCGACUCCAUGAAGUCGGAAUCGCUAGUAAUCGUGGAUCAGAAUGCCACGGUGAAUACGUUCCCGGGCCUUGUACACACCGCCCGUCACACCAUGGGAGUGGGUUGCAAAAGAAGUAGGUAGCUUAACCUUCGGGAGGGCGCUUACCACUUUGUGAUUCAUGACUGGGGUGAAGUCGUAACAAGGUAACCGUAGGGGAACCUGCGGUUGGAUCACCUCCUUA